AAGAAGCGAGGAAUAUGCAUAAUAUUAGGUACUCUGAGUUCCUGGAUCACCCUACUGUAGGAGCAGGAGUAUUAAUCUUAAUAACUUUUCCAUAAGUGUCACUAAAUUUGGACCCUUUACUUAAGCUUCAUCUGGAAGAGCUGAAGUUGGGGGAACUGAAGUCACCUGACAGGACUGGCUUCCCUUACCCUGAAAUAUCCACCUCCAAGUUGACUCAAAAGAACAAGUGAUUCUGAGAGCUGGAUUCUCUGAGCAGCAUGGCACUCUCUUCCUGGUGAGAGACCCCUGGCUACAGGACCACAUGGAGAAGCAGAAGAGAAACCAGCCGUGUGCAAGAGUAUACAUAGUACCAAGGAAGCAAGAGACUGGAUACACGUUCACUCUUCUUACACCAAUGUCUUCUCUUGGAAACGAACUCAUUCCUUUCAAAUCUAUUCACACACCUGAGAUUGGUUAAUACGUUCCAGAGAGCAGAGCACUCAUGAUGUAACCACUGCCCAUUGGCACUUCCUAUCAAAGAUUUCUACCACCUUAAAAUCAUUAUCCUAGCACAUGAACCUCUGAAGGACAAACCGCAUUU